rnacentral:rRNA from 1 species
AUUGAACGCUGGCGGCAGGCUUAACACAUGCAAGUCGAGCGGGGUGAUGGUGCUUGCACUAUCACUUAGCGGCGGACGGGUGAGUAAUGCUUAGGAAUCUGCCUAUUAGUGGGGGACAACAUCUCGAAAGGGAUGCUAAUACCGCAUACGUCCUACGGGAGAAAGCAGGGGAUCACUUGUGACCUUGCGCUAAUAGAUGAGCCUAAGUCGGAUUAGCUAGUUGGUGGGGUAAAGGCCUACCAAGGCGACGAUCUGUAGCGGGUCUGAGAGGAUGAUCCGUCACACUGGGACUGAGACACGGCCCAGACUCCUACGGGAGGCAGCAGUGGGGAAUAUUGGACAAUGGGGGGAACCCUGAUCCAGCCAUGCCGCGUGUGUGAAGAAGGCCUUAUGGUUGUAAAGCACUUUAAGCGAGGAGGAGGCUCUUUUGGUUAAUACCCAAGAUGAGUGGACGUUACUCACAGAAUAAGCACCGGCUAACUCUGUGCCAGCCGCCGCGGUAA